rnacentral:rRNA from 1 species
CUCCUACGGGAGGCAGCAGUGGGGAAUAUUGGGCAAUGGGCGCAACUGUACCCAGCAACGCCGCGUGAAGGAAGAAGGCUUUCGGGUUGUAAACUUCUUUUAAGAGGGAAGAGCAGAAGACGGUACCUCUAGAAUAAGCCACGGCUAACUACGUGCCAGCAGCCGCGGUAAUACGUAGGUGGCAAGCGUUGUCCGGAUUUACUGGGUGUAAAGGGCGUGCAGCCGGGUCUGCAAGUCAGAUGUGAAAUCCAUGGGCUCAACCCAUGAACUGCAUUUGAAACUGUAGAUCUUGAGUGUCGGAGGGGCAAUCGGAAUUCCUAGUGUAGCGGGUGAAAUGCGUAGAUAUUAGGAGGAACACCAGUGGCGAAGGCGGAUUGCUGGACGAUAACUGACGGUGAGGCGCGAAAGUGUGGGGAGCAAACAGGAUUAGAUACCCUGGUAGUCCACACUGUAAACGAUGAAUACUAGGUGUGCGGGGACUGACCCCCUGCGUGCCGCAUUAAACACAAUAAGUAUUCCACCUGGGGAGUACGAUCGCAAGGUUGAAACUCAAAGGAAUUGACGGGGGCCCGCACAAGCAGUGGAGUAUGUGGUUUAAUUCGACGCAACGCGAAGAACCCUACCAAGUCUUGACAUCCUGCGACGAUGCUGGAAACAGUAUUUUCCUUCGGGACGCAGAGACAGGUGGUGCAUGGUUGUCGUCAGCUCGUGUCGUGAGAUGUUGGGUUAAGUCCCGCAACGAGCGCAACCCUUACUGUCAGUUACUACGCAAGAGGACUCUGGCAGGACUGCCGUUGACAAAACGGAGGAAGGUGGGGAUGACGUCAAAUCAUCAUGCCCUUUAUGACUUGGGCUACACACGUACUACAAUGGCGUUAAACAAAGAGAAGCAAGACCGCGAGGUGGAGCAAAACUCAGAAACAACGUCCCAGUUCGGACUGCAGGCUGCAACUCGCCUGCACGAAGUCGGAAUUGCUAGUAAUCGUGGAUCAGCAUGCCACGGUGAAUACGUUCCCGGCCUUUACACACCGC